CCUACGGGAGGCAGCAGUGGGGAAUCUUGCGCAAUGGGCGAAAGCCUGACGCAGCCAUGCCGCGUGAAUGAUGAAGGUCUUAGGAUUGUAAAAUUCUUUCACCGGGGACGAUAACGACGGUACCCGGAGAAGAAGCCCCGGCUAACUUCGUGCCAGCAGCCGCGGUAAUACGAAGGGGGCUAGCGUUGCUCGGAAUUACUGGGCGUAAAGGGAGCGUAGGCGGAUAGCUUAGUCAGAGGUGAAAGCCCAGGGCUCAACCUUGGAAUUGCCCUUGAUACUGGCUAUCUUGAGUACGGAAGAGGUAUGUGGAACUCCGAGUGUAGAGGUGAAAUUCGUAGAUAUUCGGAAGAACACCAGUGGCGAAGGCGACAUACUGGUCCGUUACUGACGCUGAGGCUCGAAAGCGUGGGGAGCAAACAGGAUUAGAUACCCUGGUAGUCCACGCUGUAAACGAUGAGUGCUAGUUGUCGGCAUGCAUGCAUGUCGGUGACGCAGCUAACGCAUUAAGCACUCCGCCUGGGGAGUACGGUCGCAAGAUUAAAACUCAAAAGAGUAGUAGGCGUGAGAGAGCGACGACGACGACGACGGAGGAGGAG
rnacentral:rRNA from 1 species